UCGGAAGCGCAGCUCCGCCCUCCGGACGCGGUCGCUAUGGUAACCCAAAGGCAUUUUCCAGGGCGUUUGUCAUCAUAAUCAUCAGUGACCAUUCAUUGAGUUUAAGCAAGGCAGUGCACUAAGCAGGGGAGACAAAGAGAUUGAAGAACAGAAAUAAUGAAUUUUCAAAACUCAGGAGUCAAUCUUGAAAG